rnacentral:rRNA from 1 species
AUGGUCAAGCUACAAAGAGCGCAAGGGGAAUGCCUUGGCACUGGGAGCCGAAGAAGGACGCGACUAACUGCGAAAAGCUAUGGGGAGCCGUAAGUGGGCAUUGAUCCAUAGAUAUCCGAAUGGAGCAAUCCGGCUGGAGUCAUGUCCAGUCACCGCAGAGUGAAUUCAUAGGUCUGCGGGGGGAACCGCCUGAACUGAAACAUCUAAGUAGGGCGAGGAAGAGAAAUCAAUUGAGAUUCCGCUAGUAGUGGCGAGCGAAAGCGGAAGAGGCCAAACCGAGGGUAGCAAUACCUUCGGGGUUCGGACAGCGAUAUGGAUGCAGGAAUCUAGCAGAAUGGCAUGGGAAGGCCAACGAAACAGUGUGAGAGUCACGUAUGCGAAAGAGGAAAGCACCUAGCUGUAUCCAGAGUACCGCCGGACACGUGAAACCCGGUGGGAACAUGGGGGGACCACCCUCCAAGCCUAAAUACUACCCAGUGACCGAUAGUGUACAGUACUGUGAAGGAAAGGUGAAAAGGACCCCGGAAGGGGAGUGAAAAAGAACCUGAAACCUUGUGCUUACAAGCACCGAGAGCCCGUCAACGGGUGAUCGGGUACCUUUUGUAGAAUGGUCCGGCGAGUGAAUGUAACUGGCGAGGUUAAGGACUUCAGGUCCGGAGCCGCAGGGAAACCGAGUCUGAACAGGGCGUAUGAAGUCAGUUGUAUUCGACCCGAAACCGGGUGACCUACCCAUGUCCAGGUUGAAGUGGGGGUAAAACCCCAUGGAGGACCGAACCGACUCCCGUUGAAAUGGUAGCGGAUGAGGUGUGGGUAGCGGAGAAAUUCCAAUCGAACCCGGAGAUAGCUGGUUCUCUCCGAAAUAGCUUUAGGGCUAGCCUCGUAAUAAGAUUACCGGAGGUAAAGCACUGAAUGGUCUAGGGGCCGAAAGGCUACCGAAGCCUAUCAAACUCAGAAUGCCGGAUAAUCAUGUACGGGAGUCAGACAGCGUGAGAUAAGUUUCGUUGUCAAAAGGGAAACAGCCCAGACCCACAGCUAAGGUCCCCAAACACGGUUAAGUGGAAAAGGAUGUGGGGUUGCACAGACAACCAGGAUGUUGGCUUAGAAGCAGCCACUCAUUAAAAGAGUGCGUAAUAGCUCACUGGUCGAGUGACCCUGCGCCGAAAAUUUAACGGGGCUAAAUCGUGUACCGAAGCUUGGGAUUCCGUAAGGAAUGGUAGGAGAGCGUUGAAUAAGGGGUGAAGUCAGAGCGGAAGCGCUGGUGGACUUUAUUCAAGUGAGAAUGCCGGAAUGAGUAGCGCGAAAUGUGUGAGAAUCAUAUUGGCCGAAAGUCUAAGGUUUUUGGAGGAAGGUUCGUCCGCUCCAAGUAAGCCGGGAGCUAAGGUGAGGCUGAGAAGCGUAGCCGAUGCACAUACGGUGGAAAUUCCGUAGCCGCCAAAAGAUUUAAGUAAGAUGACACCUGAAAAGGGCAUGACCCGGGCGAUGGUUGACCCGGGCGUAAGGGACCGAAAUUUAGUAGGGAAGCAUGCUUAGCUCAGGGCGAGAAAAGUCUUAUGGAUAUCUAAGGCGCCCGUACCGCAAACCGACACAGGUAGACAGGAAGAGAAUUCCAAGGCCAACGGGAGAAGGGUAGUUAAGGAACUCGGCAAAUUGACCCCGUAACUUAGGGAAAAGGGGUGCCACAGCAAUGUGGCCGCAGAGAAUAGGCCCAGGCGACUGUUUAGCAAAAACACAGGUCUCUGCCAAAUCGUAAGAUGAAGUAUAGGGGCUGACACCUGCCCGGUGCUGGAAGGUUAAGAGGAGAUGUGCAAGCAUUGAAUUGAAGCCCCAGUAAACGGCGGCCGUAACUAUAACGGUCCUAAGGUAGCGAAAUUCCUUGUCGGGUAAGUUCCGACCCGCACGAAUGGUGUAACGAUCUGGGCACUGUCUCAACUACCCGCCCGGCGAAAUUGUAGUACCGGUGAAGAUGCCGGUUACCCGCGACAAGACGGAAAGACCCCAUGGAGCUUUACUGCAGUUUAAUAUUGGGUUUCGGUAAUUUAUGUACAGGAUAGGUGGGAGACUGGGAAACACCGGCGCCAGCCGGUGCGGAGUCACUGUUGGGAUACCACUCUUAAGUUGCUGAAAUUCUAACCUGCGGCCGUGAAUCCGGCCGGGGGACAUUGUUAGACGGGCAGUUUGACUGGGGCGG